rnacentral:lncRNA from 1 species
GGUUACUAUUUGUAUUUCUGGCAUCACUAUUCUCAAAAUUUGAAAUAACAUUUUAUCUCAGCUGUCUCUAAUUGAUUUCUAAUUUCUUACCUAAGAUAUUUCACCCCGGGCCCUCCCUUUUUCACAUACAUUCCUAUGUAGUUCAUGCAAGGCUGGCUGCUAACUUAGGAGAUCUGGGCUGUGAGCUAGUGCUUAGGACUGAGGGUUUGACAGGCUGGAGACCUCCAUUUGGGGAUUUCGGAAACACCCGGGGCAUCAGAAGUCUCUGGGCCACGCCUACUGACCAGGAAUCUUGUUCCUCUGCCUAGGAGCCACGUGCUUCUUUGUUUCAUGAGUGCCACAGCAUGAACAAUCCUAUCAAAGCCAAGGUUCUGGCCUUCUCCCUACCUUAUCCUCCAUUAUGGAUUAAUCCCUUUUCUGGAGAAGGAGCGCCAUCUACUGUUAGCACUUACCGCAUGGCAGACAGUCCCUGAGACUUCCCAGUGAUUCUCUGUCAUCUCCGUUCACCAUGGAGAGAGCUGCAAUUUUCCUCCACUCGGGGACAGGAAAGCUACAACCAAAAGGAUAUGCACAAGGUCAUUCAGCCACAGAGGGAAACAGCUGCAUUUGAGAUGCUGAUGCAAGAGGGAAGGCGAGCU